UCGUUUCCGGAAGACGUCAGACGCUGCUUCCUCUUGGGGGGUGGUGCGGAGAUUCCCGGGGUUUCUUCUAGCAAUGCACCAGGUUAAGUCGGAGAGGUGAAGAGGAUCCAACAAAGAAGACUGAGAAGGAAUAAUCCAUGAAGUAGAUGGAAAAGUAGGAGAGUUUAGAUCUGCAAAACCAAGGGAAGGAAGUGUUUCAAGAAGGGAGUGACCCAUUGUCUCAAAUGUUGCUCAUAGGUCAAGUAAAAUGAGAAUUAAGAAUGGGCCACUGUAGCAAUGGUCACCAGUGAUGUUGAAACGCCAUUUUGGCAGUGGUGGAAGUUUGAUAAAGUCUGAUGAAAAUUUGAUAGGAGUUGGAGGGAAGGAUGGGAGGAGAGGAAAUGGAGAAAGCAAAUAUACGCAAUACUUUUAAGAAGUUUUGUUUUUAAGGUGAGCAGAAAAAUAAGGCUAUCAUGGGAUAGGGAUUUUGUUAAUCUUUUGUUGUUGCGUUUUUCCACGUUCUAAUUUUUUUUUUUUUUUUAAUUCAAAGAUGGGGCUGAGUGUGGUGGCUUAUGCCUGUAAUCCUAACAUUUCAGGAGGCCAAAGUGGGAGGAUUGGUUGAGCCCAGGAGUCUGAAACUGCCUAGGCAACAUAGUGAGACCCUCAUCUCUACAAAAAAUAAAAAACUAGCCUGGCAUGGCACCCGCCUGAAGUCCCAACUACUUGAGAGGCUGAGAUGGGAGGAUCGCUUGAGCCCAGACAGUAGAGACUGCAGUGAGCCGUGAUCCCGCCACUGCACUGCAGCAUGGGCGACAGAGCUAGUCUCUGUCUCAAAAAAAUAAAAUAAAAAAGAUGGAA